CAGGGAAUUUUGCGCAAUGGGCGAAAGUCUGACGCAGCGACGCCGCGUGUGGGAGGAAGCUCUUCGGGGUGUAAACCACUGUCAGGAGGGAAGAACGGCGCCGGUUCGAACAGUUCCGGCGAUUGACGGUACCUCCAAAGGAAGCCCCGGCCAACUACGUGCCAGCAGCCGCGGUAACACGUAGGGGGCGAGCGUUGUCCGGAUUUAUUGGGCGUAAAGAGCUCGUAGGCGGUUUGGCAAGUCGGGUGUGAAAUUUCGAGGCUCAACCUCGAAACGCCACUCGAUACUGCCAUGACUGGAGUCCGGUAGAGGAGUGCGGAAUUCCUGGUGUAGCGGUGAAAUGCGCAGAUAUCAGGAGGAACACCAACGGCGAAGGCAGCACUCUGGGCCGGUAUUGACGCUGAGGAGCGAAAGCGUGGGGAGCAAACAGGAUUAGAUACCCCUGUAGUCCCUGAGCGGGCUGGCAAGGCGCAU
rnacentral:rRNA from 1 species